rnacentral:rRNA from 1 species
UACGAAGGGGGCUAGCGUUGCGCGGGUUUACUGGGCGUAAAGCGCACGUAGGCGGGUCGUUAAGUCGGGGGUGAAAUCCCGGAGCUCAACUCCGGAACUGCCUUCGAUACUGGCGAUCUCGCGUCCGGGAGAGGUGAGUGGAAUUCCGAGUGUAGAGGUGAAAUUCGUAGAUAUUCGGAAGAACACCAGUGGCGAAGGCGGCUCACUGGCCCGGUACUGACGCUGAGGUGCGAAAGCGUGGGGAGCAAACAGG